rfam:Pseudogymnoascus pannorum VKM F-4516 (FW-969) contig_1212, whole genome shotgun sequence.
GGACAGAUGGCCGAGAUGGUUAUGGCGCCAGGUUAAGGUCAUACCUUAAACAUCUAGAUAGUUUCCUGGUCACGAAAGUGGCGUGGGUUCGAGUCCCACUCUGUUCA